GGGGCAGGGAUUGGGGCUUAGAGGGUGGGGGGAGGUGUUAAGAGCACACACCUGGAGCCAGGCUGCUGAAGUGAGGCUCCGAGCCACUAACUAGCUGGAUGACCUUGCGGGGUCAUAGUGAGAACUAAAUGAGACAUGUGAGAAAAGCUCUCAGGACACUGCCUGCUGCACGGCAGGUGCUAUGUGUGGUGCUGUUAUCAGUCUCACGCUACCACACAGCCGCAGAGGCAACGUUGAGGGAGAAGCCCAUGAUCCAGACCUAGCAGUUUGCCCGGGACGUUUAAAACACUUGCAAGAGGAGACCAUUCCUGAAGUUGGCUGCAAACCCCCUGCUUCAUCUGUUACCAGGUUUAACCCCUCAAUAGCCGAAUCGCUGGAUGAAGUGUCAUCACUUACAACUGUAACAGAGUGGUCAAAGAGAGUGAUGUUUUCUUUAGUCUGAGCUGGGAUUGGAGGGAGAAAAGAGCUUUAAGAAAAACGAUUCCAGAGAUCAGCUAAAGGAAUUGGUGUCUUUGAGAAUCCUAUGCCUUGCUUCCAGGUAAAAUAAGCCCUCCAGUACACAGCUGUAUAUUCUAGUUAUAGGUCCUUCUGGCUCUGCUAUGUGGGACGCUGCCUCAGCAUGGCCUGAUGAGUGGUACUACGUCCAUGCCCAGGAUCCAAACCUGGGUGGCCAAAACAGAGCACACAAACUUAACCACUUGGCCACAGGGCUGGCCCCUCUUAAUUCUUUUUUUACCUGCAAAGUUAAAACUUGAGUAACUUGCAACACCCUAACGCUAAUAAAUCUGCCACUUUGCCUACUAUUCGAUGUCCUCCAGUUUUCUUUCUCCCCAGUCCCAACACAUGCUGGAAAUGAUUGCAGAAGACGUG
rnacentral:lncRNA from 1 species